AUCCAGCGAACUUGGCAGAGAUGCCUUGGUGCCUUCGGGAACGCUGAGACAGGUGCUGCAUGGCUGUCGUCAGCUCGUGUUGUGAAAUGUUGGGUUAAGUCCCGCAACGAGCGCAACCCUUAUCCUUUGUUGCCAGCGAUUCGGUCGGGAACUCAAAGGAGACUGCCGGUGAUAAACCGGAGGAAGGUGGGGAUGACGUCAAGUCAUCAUGGCCCUUACGAGUAGGGCUACACACGUGCUACAAUGGCGCAUACAAAGAGAAGCGACCUCGCGAGAGCAAGCGGACCUCAUAAAGUGCGUCGUAGUCCGGAUCGGAGUCUGCAACUCGACUCCGUGAAGUCGGAAUCGCUAGUAAUCGUGGAUCAGAAUGCCACGGUGAAUACGUUCCCGGGCCUUGUACGCACCGCCCGUCACACCAUGGGAGUGGGUUGCAAAAGAAGUAGGUAGCUUAACCUUCGGGAGGGCGCUUACCACUUUGUGAUUCAUGACUGGGGUGAAGUCGUAACAAGGUAGGCGUAGCGAG
rnacentral:rRNA from 1 species